rnacentral:rRNA from 1 species
UGGGGAAUAUUGCACAAUGGGGGAAACCCUGAUGCAGCGACGCCGCGUGAGCGAAGAAGGCUUUCGAGUCGUAAAGCUCUGUCCUAUGAGAAGAUAAUGACGGUAUCAUAGGAGGAAGCCCCGGCUAAAUACGUGCCAGCAGCCGCGGUAAUACGUAUGGGGCGAGCGUUGUCCGGAAUUAUUGGGCGUAAAGGGUACGUAGGCGGCCUUUUAAGUCAGGUGUGAAAUCGUGAGGCUUAACCUCAUUAAGCACUUGAAACUGGAAGGCUUGAGUGAAGGAGAGGAAAGUGGAAUUCCUAGUGUAGCGGUGAAAUGCGUAGAUAUUAGGAGGAAUACCGGUGGCGAAGGCGACUUUCUGGACUUUUACUGACGCUCAGGUACGAAAGCGUGGGGAGCAAACA